AGUCCUUGGUGUUAUUUUAGUUGGUGUUCUUCUAGCUGUGCUUAGAGCCAAGGGCUUCAUUAAAUGUAGUAAAGGUCAAUCAAAGACAAGUGUCCCUGAUGAAGAGCCUCACCUUUACCUGUGAAGCUGCUGAAGUUUUCCCUCCUGCAGGUGGGAUUUAAACGUCCUUUUAGUGAAGAGAUGAAAACAUCAGAUCUGUGAGGAGUGAGGAUGAAGAGGCUGGAGCCUUCAUCACAUUAACACAUGAAACAAACAGAAAUGUCAGAUUUCCAUCAUGUUUCUUCUGCUGAUUUUAUUUGAAGCUUUUUGUUACAUUAGAUGUAAACUGGACGUAUGGCAGCAGGUUUUUUUAAGUCCUCCCUCGUCUUCAAAAUGAAUCUAAACAGUCUGACCUGAACUCUACAUAAUUAUAAUUUAUCUAAUCUUGGCUGUGCCUUAACCUGCUCUAGUUGCCUUGGUAAUAUUGUCAAAAUAAGUAAAAAAAUACCAACAGUUUUAUAUAUUAAUUAACAGUAUAAUUAUUCCUCAAAACAUCAUCACUGAUAUAAAAUGUGGUUUUACAGAAGGAUCCAGUGCAGAUGUGAAUCUGGUGAUGAGGUCAUGAAUUCAUUUACUGGUUUGUUUAAUAUGGACCUGAAUAUGAAUGACUAUGGGUCCUACAGUAAAGAUGCUUUUAUUUUUGGUUUUUACUUUUGAUUUUAUUUUCCUUUGUCCACUUUAUUGAUUCAUUGUUUUAACAUAUUUUUAAUUUUCCCUGUUGUGUUUUCCUCGCUAAUCAACACUUUCCCUCUUCUCCGUGUCUUUUAUUACUUUCUUUUGUUUUGAUGUCUGUACAGCUCUUUGUAACUCUGUUCUGAAAAGUGCUUUAUAAAUAAAGUUAUUGUUGUUAUUAAAAGUAGAGCCACAUGCAGAUCCAGCGUUAGCAUUACACAGUGGUCAGUUACAUAGAGACAGAUUGGUGACAGAAAGAAGCAGACAGACUGCAGUUACCAUGGUGACAGCAGCAGAGAGAACGUGGACUUUAAUGCUGACGGAGCCGAUUAUAAAUGAAUCUUCUGUUGAAUCCUGGAUUUGACGUGAGUGAGUUUCACUCCUGAGUAACUCACAGCAGAAUUAAAAUGGACCCAGUUAAAAAGGGACCUGAUUGAACUUGUGAUAAAAGUGACUUUUAAGAACCAA